GGCUUACAGCACCUGGUAUUCCCAGCCGCUUUCCCAUCUAAGUGCUAACCAGGCCCAGCCCUGCUUAGCUUCCGUCUGAUCUCGGAGGCUAAGCAGGGUUGGGCCUGGUGGCACGGUGGUGCAGUUGUUAGC
rnacentral:rRNA from 1 species